GGUUGUUUGGCCGAGCGGUCUAAGGCGCCUGAUUCAAGAAAUUCGUUUCUUAACCGAGUAAAAAUUCGGGAACACUCAGGAAUCGUAAGAUGCAGGAGUUCGAAUCUCCUAGCAACCA
rfam:Kazachstania africana CBS 2517 chromosome 6, complete genome